AGCGAACGCUGGCGGCAGGCCUAACACAUGCAAGUCGAACGAACUCUUCGGAGUUAGUGGCGGACGGGUGAGUAACACGUGGGAACGUGCCUUUUGGUUCGGAGUAACUCAGGGAAACUUGUGCUAAUACCGAAUGUGCCCUUCGGGGGAAAGAUUUAUCGCCAUUAGAGCGGCCCGCGUCUGAUUAGCUAGUUGGUGAG
rnacentral:rRNA from 1 species